rnacentral:rRNA from 1 species
AUUGAACGCUGGCGGCAUGCUUUACACAUGCAAGUCGAACGGCAGCGCGGGCUUCGGCCUGGCGGCGAGUGGCGAACGGGUGAGUAAUGCAUCGGAACGUGCCCAGUAGUGGGGGAUAGCCCGGCGAAAGCCGGAUUAAUACCGCAUACGACCUGAGGGUGAAAGCGGGGGACCGAAAGGCCUCGCGCUAUUGGAGCGACCGAUGUCGGAUUAGCUAGUUGGUUGGGUAAAGGCUUACCAAGGCGACGAUCCGUAGCUGGUCUGAGAGGACGACCAGCCACACUGGGACUGAGACACGGCCCAGACUCCUACGGGAGGCAGCAGUGGGGAAUGUUGGACAAUGGGGGCAACCCUGAUCCAGCCAUGCCGCGUGCGGGAAGAAGGCCUUCGGGUUGUAAACCGCUUUUGUUCGGGAAGAAAUCCUCUGGGCUAAUACCCCGGGGGGAUGACGGUACCGGAAGAAUAAGCACAGGCUAACUACGUG